rnacentral:rRNA from 1 species
CUAUACAUGCUCUGCGCAUAUCAAUAAGCGGAGGAAAAGAAACUAACAAGGAUUCCCCUAGUAACGGCGAGUGAAGCGGGAAGAGCUCAAAUUUGAAAUCUUAAAGGGUUUCCCUUUACGAAUUGUAGUUUAAAGAAGUGUUUUCUGUUGAGGUUUUGGUAAAAGUUCUUUGGAAUAGGACAUCAUAGAGGGUGAGAAUCCCGUAUUUGACCUUUACUUUCAACUUUGUGAUACACUUUCAAAGAGUCGGAUUGUUUGGGAAUGCAGUCCAAAAUGGGUGGUAAAUUUCAUCUAAAGCUAAAUAUUGGCGAGAGACCGAUAGCGAACAAGUACCGUGAGGGAAAGAUGAAAAGAACUUCGAAAAGAGAGUUAAACAGUACGUGAAAUUGUCAAAAGGGAAGCGUUUGACACCAGUGUUGUUUUUCUGAAAAUCAAUUAAAGAACUGUUUAUGCUAAGCUGUUUAGACUUUAUCAGCUAUCUGUUUAGUUUUGAGCUUUUCUUUAAUGCACUUUUCAGUUAACAAGUCAACAUCAAUUUCUUUUGCUGUAAAAAAGCUUGAGGAAGGUGGCUUGAGAUUCGUCUUAAGUGUUUAUAGCCUCUUGCCUAUGCAGUCGGAGAGAUUGAGGUCUGCAGCGUAGAUCCUUCGGGGCUAAAUGCAUUUGUGCUAAGUUAUAGCAUUUUAUAGACAACUUGUUGACUAUGAUUUGUCUUGUAGCUUACUCGCUUAUGUUAUUUUACCUACGCUUAGGAUGUUGAUCUACAGAGCGAGAGU